GCGCCUCUAGCUCAACUGGCAGAGCAGCUGACUCUUAAUCAGCGGGUUCGGGGUUCGAGUCCCCGGGGGCGUA
rnacentral:tRNA from 1 species